rnacentral:lncRNA from 1 species
CGCUGCUUGCAUCAUACACAACCUUUAGGGAUACGAUUUUAUAUAGUCGUGAUACCCUGACCAUAGAUGAAGUCUAUGAUGCGUUGUUCUCUAAGAAGAAGAUGAAGAAUCUUGUGAAUGGGUCGGAGACUUAAGGAGAUGGUCUCAUUGUUCGAGAAGGAAGAACUCAUGAGAGGAACUCUGGGGGUGAUGAUAGAAACAGAUCGAAAUCCAGAAACAAAAA